CACGUAGUUAGCCGUGGCUUAUUCAAGAGGUACCGUCUUCUGCUCUUCCCUCUUAAAAGAAGUUUACAACCCGAAAGCCUUCUUCCUUCAAAACGCGGCGUUGCUGGGUCAGGCUUGCGCCCAUUGCCCAAUAUUCCCCACUGCUGCCUCCCGUAGGAGUCUGGGCCGUAUCUCAGUCCCAAUGUGGCCGGUCAACCUCUCAGUCCGGCUACUGAUCGUCGCCUAGGUGGGCCUUACCCCGCUACUAGCUAAUCAGACGCGAGGCCAUCUUCCAGCGAUAAAUCUUUGGUGUCUCGAUGAUGCCAUCGAAACACAUCAUGCGGUAUUAGCAGUCGUUUCCAACUGUUCGUCCCCCUCUGGAAGGCAGGUUCCUCACGCGUUACUCACCAGUCCGCCACUAAGCAUUCCCUUCACUUGUACCGAAAACUCGUUUCGGGGGUGUCUCCGUUCGACUUGCAUGUGUUAAGCACGCCGCCAGCGUUCGUCCUGUACGCCGACGGACUACGUAACUCUCUGUACGACCG
rnacentral:rRNA from 1 species